rnacentral:rRNA from 1 species
AAUGAACGUUGGCGGCGUGGAUUAGGCAUACAAGUCGAGCGCUCAUAGCAAUAUGGGAGCGGCGAACGGCGUAGUAAGACGUAGGAACGUACCCUCGGGUCGGGGAUAGCUACGGGAAACUGUAGGUAAUACCCGAUAAUCUCUGCGGAGCAAAGGUGUGAUUCCGCCUGAGGAGCGGCUUACGCGAUAUUAGCUAGUUGGUGGGGUAAUGGCCUACCAAGGCGAUGAUGUCUAGGGGGUGUGAGAGCAUGGCCCCCACGACCGGAACUGAGAUACUGUCCGGACACCUACGGGUGGCUGCAGUCGAGAAUCUUCCGCAAUGGACGAAAGUCUGACGGAGCGACGCCGCGUGCGGGAUGAAGGCCCUUGGGUUGUAAACCGCUGUCAGAGGGGAUGAAAUCUUCGGAGGUACUCCUCCGAAGUUGACAGAGCCUCAAAGGAAGCACGGGCUAAGUACGUG